CCUACGGGAGGCAGCAGUGAGGAAUAUUGGUCAAUGGACGAGAGUCUGAACCAGCCAAGUAGCGUGAAGGAUGACUGUCCUAUGGGUUGUAAACUUCUUUUAUAAAGGAAUAAAACGCGGCACGUGUGCCUUUUUGCAUGUACUUUAUGAAUAAGGAUCGGCUAACUCCGUGCCAGCAGCCGCGGUAAUACGGAGGAUCCGAGCGUUAUCCGGAUUUAUUGGGUUUAAAGGGAGCGUAGAUGGGUUGUUAAGUCAGUUGUGAAAUUUUGCGGCUCAACCGUAAAAUUGCAAUUGAUACUGGCAGUCUUGAGUACAUUUGAGGUAUGCGGAAUUCGUGGUGUAGCGGUGAAAUGCUUAGAUAUCACGAAGAACCCCGAUUGCGAAGGCAGCUUACUAAACUGUGACUGACAUUGAUGCUCGAAAGUGUGGGUAUCAAACAGGAUUAGAUACCCCAGUAGUC
rnacentral:rRNA from 1 species